rnacentral:lncRNA from 1 species
UUUGAGACAACACAUUAAUUAAACAGGUCCAGUAUGUUCAUCAAAACAAAAAAGUUUAUUUAUAAUCAUAUUAUAUAUUUAUGUUUAUGUACAUGUGUACAUAUAAUAUAUAGCUACAAACCCUAAAUGUACGUUAGUUACGUGACGAUUGAAGAGCCUCUCUCACAAAAGGUCAUAGACGACAGUUAUGUGUUGUUUUCAAGCUGAAUCCUCAAUCUGGCAAUCUCCAAACACUUCUUGUCAGCAUUGAUUUGGAUAUAGUACCACACUGUUUCCUAUUAUGCCAUCAUCAAAUAGAUUAAUGUUCCUUAUAACCCUUCUCAUCCAUCACUAUCUCUUGACCACUUUGCUUGCUAUGGUCGGUUAGUGGAUAAGGUAUAAAUCUAACACAAUUUCUAUGUGGGUUUUUCCUUGAUUAGGUAUAGACUCUAUAUGCACUAUAUAUAUUUAUGUGAGAAUUAAAAUUUAUAGAUAGAUAUAUGGCCCUAUAUAUAUAGCUACAAAGCGUAUGGUAC